AACGUAGGAGGCGAGCGUUAUUCGGAUUUACUGGGCGUAAAGCGCGUGCAGGCGGCUUCGUAAGUCGGACGUUAAAUCUCCUGGCUCAACUGGGAGGGGUCGUUCGAAACUGCGGGGCUUGAGGUCGGGAGAGGGAAGUGGAAUUCCCGGUGUAGUGGUGGAAUGCGUAGAUAUCGGGAGGAACACCAGUGGCGAAGGCGGCUUCCUGGACUGUAACUGACGCUGAGGCGCGAAAGCUGGGGGAGCGAACAGGAUUAGAUACCCCUGUAGUCC
rnacentral:rRNA from 1 species